UACGAAGGGGGGCUAGCGUUGCUCGGAAUUACUGGGCGUAAAGGGCGCGUAGGCGGCACUGUUAGUCAGGCGUGAAAGUCCUGGGCUCAACCUGGGAACUGCGCUUGAUACGGCAGAGCUAGAGGAUGGAAGAGGGUCGCGGAAUUCCCAGUGUAGAGGUGAAAUGCGCAGAUAUCAGGAGGAACACCGGUGGCGAAGGCGGGUCUCUGGGCCGAAACUGACGCUGAGGAGCGAAAGCGUGGGGAGCAAACAGG
rnacentral:rRNA from 1 species